UACGUAGGUGGCAAGCGUUGUCCGGAUUUACUGGGCGUAAAGAGCGCGCAGGCGGUCGUUCAAGUCGCGUGUGAAAUCCCCCGGCUCAACCGGGGAAUGGCUGGGCAUACUGGCGAUCUUGAGCAGUCUAGGGGCAGAUGGAACAGACGGUGGAGCGGUGAAAUGCGUAGAUAUCGUCUGGAACGCCAAAGGUGAAAACAGUCUGCUGGGGACUUGCUGACGCUGAGACACGAAAGCCAGGGGAGCGAACGGG
rnacentral:rRNA from 1 species